GAUGAACGCUAGCGGGAGGCUUAACACAUGCAAGCCGAGGGGUAGAAUUAGCUUGCUAAUUUGAGACCGGCGCACGGGUGCGUAACGCGUAUGCAACUUGCCUUACUGAAAAGGAUAGCCCAGAGAAAUUUGGAUUAAUACUUUAUAAUAGAAGACUCGGCAUCAAGUUUUUUUGAAAGAUUUAUCGCAGUAGGAUAGGCAUGCGUAAGAUUAGAUAGUUGGUGAGGUAACGGCUCACCAAGUCGACGAUCUUUAGGGGGCCUGAGAGGGUGAACCCCCACACUGGUACUGAGACACGGACCAG
rnacentral:rRNA from 1 species